rnacentral:rRNA from 1 species
UACAGGGGGUGCAAACGUUGCUCGGAAUCAUUGGGCGUAAAGCGCACGUAGGCGGUUCGUUAUGUCGGAUGUGAAAGCCCUUGGCUUAACCGAGGAAGUGCAUCCGAAACUGGCGAGCUAGAGUACGAAAGAGGAUCGCGGAAUUCCCGGCGUAGAGGUGAAAUUCGUAGAUAUCGGGAGGAACACCGGUGGCGAAGGCGGCGAUCUGGGUCGAUACUGACGCUGAGGUGCGAAAGCGUGGGGAGCAAACAGGG